AUUGAACGCUGGCGGCAUGCCUUACACAUGCAAGUCGAACGGCAGCACGGGUGCUUGCCCCUGGUGGCGAGUGGCGAACGGGUGAGUAAUACAUCGGAACAUGUCCUGUAGUGGGGGAUAGCCCGGCGAAAGCCGGAUUAAUACCGCAUACGAUCCACGGAUGAAAGCGGGGGACCUUCGGGCCUCGCGCUAUAGGGUUGGCCGAUGGCUGAUUAGCUAGUUGGUGGGGUAAAGGCCUACCAAGGCGACGAUCAGUAGCUGGUCUGAGAGGACGACCAGCCACACUGGGACUGAGACACGGCCCAGACUCCUACGGGAGGCAGCAGUGGGGAAUUUUGGACAAAGGGCGAAAGCCUGAUCCAGCAAUGCCGCGUGUGUGAAGAAGGCCUUCGGGUUGUAAAGCACUUUUGUCCGGAAAGAAAUCCUUGACUCUAAUACAGUCGGGGGAUGACGGUACCGGAAGAAUAAGCACCGGCUAACUACGUG
rnacentral:rRNA from 1 species